UACGUAGGGUGCAAGCGUUACUCGGAAUUACUGGGCGUAAAGCGUGCGUAGGUGGUGAGUUAAGUCUGUCGUGAAAGCCCCCGGCUCAACUGGGGAGGGUCAUUCGAUACUGAUCAACUUGAAGGCAGGAGAGAGAAGUGGAAUUCCCGGUGUAGUGGUGAAAUGCGUAGAUAUGCGGAGGAACACCGAUGGCGAAGGCAAUCCCCUGGGCCUGCACUGACGCUCAUGCACGAAAGCGUGGGGAGCAAACAGG
rnacentral:rRNA from 1 species